UGAGUAGGCGGUUGCAUAUGUCAGAUGUAAAAGGCACAGGCUUAACUUGUGUUAGCAUUUGAAACUGCGCGACUUGAGUGCAGGAGAGGUAAGUGGAAUUCCUAGUGUAGCGGUGAAAUGCGUAGAUAUUAGGAGGAACACCAGUGGCGAAGGCGACUUACUGGACUGUAACUGACGCUGAGUCACGAAAGCGUGGGUAGCAAACA
rnacentral:rRNA from 1 species